rnacentral:misc_RNA from 1 species
GAUGAAGAACGUAGCGAAAUGCGAUAAGUAAUGUGAAUUGCAGAAUUCAGUGAAUCAUCGAAUCUUUGAACGCACAUUGCGCCCGCCAGUAUUCUGGCGGGCAUGCCUGUUCGAGCGUCAUUUCAACCAUCAAGCCCCCGGCUUGUGUUGGGGACCUGCGGCUGCCGCAGGCCCUGAAAAGCAGUGGCGGGCUCGCUGUCACACCGAGCGUAGUAGCAUACGUCUCGCUCUGGGCGUGCUGCGGGUUCCGGCCGUUAAACCACCUUCAUAACCCAAGGUUGACCUCGGAUCAGGUAGGAAGACCCGCUGAACUUAAGCAUAUCAAUAAGCGGAGGA